rnacentral:lncRNA from 1 species
GUCUUAUGAAGCAAGCUGCCUACAGAAAUGUCCAUGUGUCAGGAAACUGAAGCUGGCUCAUGGUCAGCAGCCAGCAAGCUACAAAGGGCUUCCAACAGCCCAUGAAGCACUGAGUCCUGCCAAAAGCCACGUGCAUGAGCUUAGAAGAGCUUCAUCCUCCAGGCUAGGAAAGAGACAGUCGGUGUGCAGCAAGAGAAAAGAGAGGAGGAAACAUGUGGAAAGACCCAAAGAAUGAAGACACAAGAGCAUGCCUGAAUGCAAUGGGAAGUAGAUCAGUUGACCUUUGCUGAAUAACAAGGUGGACCUAAAACUGGGUGACUUGAAACAGUAAGUAUUUUUAGUUCUUGAUUCUGCACAUCAGCAGUCUGGGCUGGGUUCAGCCAGAGGAUUCUGCUAGUCUGAGCUGUUCUUACUUACAUUAUCAUUGCAGUCCAUAGUCAGUCAGUG